rnacentral:rRNA from 1 species
AUUGAACGCUGGCGGCAUGCUUUACACAUGCAAGUCGAACGGUAACAGCACUUCGGUGGCUGACGAGUGGCGAACGGGUGAGUAAUGUAUCGGAACGUGCCCAGUAGUGGGGGAUAACUACUCGAAAGAGUGGCUAAUACCGCAUGAGAUCUCUGGAUGAAAGCGGGGGGACCGUAAGGCCUCGCGCUACUGGAGCGGCCGAUAUCAGAUUAGGUUGUUGGUGAGGUAAAGGCUCACCAAGCCUGCGAUCUGUAGCUGGUCUGAGAGGACGACCAGCCACACUGGGACUGAGACACGGCCCAGACUCCUACGGGAGGCAGCAGUGGGGAAUUUUGGACAAUGGGCGCAAGCCUGAUCCAGCAAUGCCGCGUGCAGGACGAAGGCC